rnacentral:rRNA from 1 species
UGGGGAAUAUUGCACAAUGGGCGCAAGCCUGAUGCAGCCAUGCCGCGUGUAUGAAGAAGGCCUUCGGGUUGUAAAGUACUUUCAGUCGGGAGGAAGGUGUCAAGGUUAAUAACCUUGGCAAUUGACGUUACCGACAGAAGAAGCACCGGCUAACUCCGUGCCAGCAGCCGCGGUAAUACGGAGGGUGCAAGCGUUAAUCGGAAUUACUGGGCGUAAAGCGCACGCAGGCGGUCUGUCAAGUCGGAUGUGAAAUCCCCGGGCUCAACCUGGGAACUGCAUUCGAAACUGGCGGGCUAGAGUCUUGUAGAGGGAGGUAGAAUUCCAGGUGUAGCGGGGAAAUGCGUGGAGAUCUGGAGGAAUACCGGUGGCGAAGGCGGCCCCCUGGACAAAGAAUGACGCUCAGGUGCGAAAGCGUGGGGAGCAAACAAG